UACGUAGGGUGCAAGCGUUGUCCGGAAUUAUUGGGCGUAAAGAGCUCGUAGGCGGUCUGUCACGUCGGCUGUGAAAUCCCGAGGCUCAACCUCGGGUCUGCAGUCGAUACGGGCAAACUAGAGUAUUGCAGGGGAGACUGGAAUUCCUGGUGUAGCGGUGGAAUGCGCAGAUAUCAGGAGGAACACCGAUGGCGAAGGCAGGUCUCUGGGCCACUACUGACGCUGAGAAGCGAAAGCAUGGGGAGCGAACAGG
rnacentral:rRNA from 1 species